ACGCGCAUGCGGAAGGGGCGGUAGCCGGCCGGGCCUGGGAACGUGGCUGGUUGGAGGAGGUAGAUCACCCUUUCUGCGGUGGACGAUUUCGUCGGUGGUAGGCUGCUACCAUGAGGUUGAAUCAGAACACCUUGCUGCUGGGGAAGAAGGUGGUCCUUGUACCCUACACCUCGGAGCAUGUGCCCAGCAGGUACCACGAGUGGAUGAAAUCAGAGGAGCUGCAGCGUUUGACAGCCUCGGAGCCGCUGACCCUGGAGCAGGAGUAUGCCAUGCAGCGCAGCUGGCAGGAAGAUGCAGACAAGUGUACCUUCAUUGUGCUGGAUGCCGAGAAGUGGCAGGCCCAGCCAGGCGCCACCGAAGAGAGCUGCAUGGUGGGAGAUGUGAACCUCUUCCUCACAGAUCUAGAAGACCCCACCUUGGGGGAGAUCGAGGUCAUGAUUGCAGAAUGGUAACGAUAGUAGCAACUUCAGAGUUGUUGAGAAUUAAAUGAGAUGGUGUCUGCCAAGUGCCCGCACUGAAGCCUGGCACAUGGCGUCAGCGCCGCU
rnacentral:sRNA from 1 species